UUAUGAUUGGUUUUGCCUGUUUUAUAAUUUUGUGUAAAUGACAAAAUAUCAUACAAGUUAUUUCAUCAGUAAAAUGGUUUUGCUAUUCAUUUAUACUGAGUACCUCAAUAGCUUAUGCCAUAUUAUUGCUGAGAAGUAUUACCUUUACAGAAAUUUGUUAUAAUUUAUCUAUUCUAAUACUGAUGGACAUUGUGUUAUUUCCAGGUUUUGAUUAUUAUGAAUCCAGUUUUUAUCAACUUUGAUGUCCAAAUUGUCUUGUGGACAUGUAUUUUCAUUUUUCUUUAGUAAAUGCCUAGGAGUGGAAUUUAGGUAUCACGUAAUAAAGGGUAGAUUUAACUUUAUAGAAACUGACAAGCAGUUUGCCAAACUGGUUGAACCAUUUUACAAUCCUUUGAGGCUUGUGUGAGUUCUAGUGUUUUCACAAACUCACAGAUACUUGAUGGUGCCAACUGUCAUAAUUACUGCCAUUUUAAAUGGGUGAUUACUGAUAUCUCAUUGACUCCCUAUUUUAGUAACGUCUAGGGAAAUGUUCUCAUAUAUUAAUAUAAAACAUUUUCUAAAUUUUUAUUUCCUACUAAUCAAUUGAUGAUACCUUGAUCAUUUAUGCAAAAUAUAUUAAUGUGUAUAUGCAUUAAAGUCUCAUUUUAAUUAUAGCAAUUUAUAAAAUUAAGUCUAUCUUCUUAUAUUUCUUGAUGAUAAACAAUCUUUAUUUCUGCUAAAUUAGAGCUACCACUUUUUUAGCACUUACUACAUCUCAGAUGCUUUUCUAAGUGAACACAUAUUAAAUCAAUUACCAAAACAAACCGAGUCAUAGUGAGGUUAAGAAAGUUGCCUAAAUAUUUCAGCCUAAAUGUUGGAGCCAAGAUUCACAUUCAGCCUUGUUUGAAAAUCCAUUUCUUUACACAUAUGCUAGUUUUAUUCUUAAGUUUUUGAAGUUCUCUUUGUGUGCCAAAUUUUAAGUUACCUAAGUUUGGCCAAAGAGACAAAUAGUAUAAGUAGAAGAAAGAAGCAAAGAAGGAUACCUAUAAAUAAAGAAAAAUAUAAUUUAAGUGAGAAGUAGUUGAUUUCCUUUUCAUAAUGCAUGUUUUAUAAUAUCUGUAGGAAUAAUGCUUUGAGUUAAAAUGAAAUUUCUUAUUGAGAAAAUAUAAAUGGUUCAAAGAGAGUAUUUUAAAUCCCCCCAAAAUACAGAAAACAUUUUUUUUUUCUUUUUAGGGUCAUACCCACAGCAUAUGGAGGUUCCCAGGCUAGGGGUCUAAUCAGAGCGACAUCUGCCAGCCUCCACCACAGCAAUACAGUAUCCAAGCUGCAUCUGUAACCUACACAACAGCUCACCACAAUGCUGGAUCCUUAACCCAUUGAGGGAGGCCAGGGAUUGAACCCGCAACCUCAUGGUUACUAGUCAGAUUUGUUUCAGCUGCACCACGAUGGACACUCCCCAAAUAAUUAAUUUCUGAUAUAAAAAAUUAAGCAAAUGAAAUUUAAAGAUAACACCAACUUUAUAAUGUCUUUUUCCAGUGGACUCUUAAGCCAAGAAAAUUAAUAUCUAAAUAAAAAGUAAAGCCAGGAAUACAAGUUGUAGGUAUCACUAAAUAUUUAAUAGUUUUUGAACCGGAAAAUUUACAAAACAAUAGAUUUGAUGAGCAUUUUGACAUUUAAAAAUUAUCAUGUAAAAAAGAGUUCCCAUCGUGGCUCAGCAGAAAUGAAUACAACUAGGAACCAUGAGGUUGUGGGUUCAAUCGCUGGCAGACUUGCUCAGUGGGUUAAGGAUCCAGUGCCACCUUGAGCUGUGGUGUAGGUCACAGAUGCAGCUCAGAUCUGACAUUGCUGUGGCUCUGGCAUAGGCUGGUGGCUACAGCUCCAAUUCUAUCCCUAGUCUGGGAACCUCCAUUUCUCUACAGGGAAAUGUGAAGAAUGAUGAACUUAUGUUCCCUUAACUAUGAUUUUAUCAUAAUUAUAAAUACUGCAUGGAUUGUUAUUAUUGUCUUAUAGUCAUUAGGGUCACCUAGAAGUUAGGCAAAAUAGAUAAUACCUUAACACUUAAAAAAAAAAAAAAAGAGUGUGAAGCUUCAGAUAUCCAUAGAUACAGACUUAAAAAUCUUGAUGAUAUAAGCCACAAUUCUUCCCUGGAGAUUUAAAUAGGUUUUGCUUUAUUUAACCUUUGCUUCUGGGUUCCUAUGGCAUCUCAGCAUCACCCAUGGUUAGCAAGAAUAGACAGUGAAUGUUGUUACCUCUUAGAUGUUGGGAGCUCAUGGGAGAGAGUAGAACAUAUAUGCUACUUAAUCCACUUCUACAGUGCCUUCUGACAUUUAGUUUGGGUAAAGGGACUCACCCUGACAUGAAAUUGUCCUUUAUAAAAUUUAGCUCUGUGGGCUACGAAGAACAAUCUGAACCAUAAUUGACCAAAGUUCUACAGUCAUGAGAGCUGCUCUAUACCACGUCAAUCUCAGCAGUCAUGGGGGUAUUUUCCCAUUGUCCCAAAUCUGAGACAAAUCCUGUCCCCUCCAGUCUGUCUUCUUUUCUGUUCUCCGACUUCAGACACAUACAUAAACAUGACCAGGAAAAUAAGAACAUAGUCCUCCUAGCAGUAACUGCCUCAUCUGGAAAUGAGAAAUUAAAACAAUAAAAAAAUUUAGCUGAUAAUUGUUAAACACUCACAAAAAAUCUCAGACACUCUGCUAAAUACUUCAUGUAUCUUAUUUAAUCCUCACAAGAGCCACUGCCAGGGAGAAGAAACUGAAGUUCUAAGAGGGAGAAUUAAUCAUGAAGAUCACACAGGUGACAAGCAGCAGAGCAUGGAUGAGAAUCCACAGUCUCUCUGACCUCAAAGCAUAUAAUCAUUUUUUGAAUGGGUUGUUUGGUUUUUUGAUUUGAGCUGCAUAAGUUAUUUGUAGAUUUUGGAGAUUAAUCCCUUGUCAAUUGCUUCAUUUGCAAAUAUUUUCUCCUAUUGUGUGGGCUGUCUUUCCAUUUUGUUUAUGGUUUCCUCUGCUGUGCAAAAACUUUUAAGUUUAAAGUCCAUUUGUUUAUAUUAUUCUAAGUGAAGUUGGACAUGAAAGAUAAACAUCAUAUGAUACCAUUUACAUGUGGAAUCUUAAAAAAAAAAAAAAA
rnacentral:lncRNA from 1 species